CCUACGUGGAGCAGCAGUGGGGAAUAUUGGACAAUGGGCGAAAGCCUGAUCCAGCCAUGCCGCGUGUGUGAAGAAGGCCUUCGGGUUGUAAAGCACUUUCAGUGGGGAAGAAAGCCUUGGGGCUAAUACCCUCGAGGAAGGACAUCACCCACAGAAGAAGCACCGGCUAACUCCGUGCCAGCAGCCGCGGUAAUACGGAGGGUGCGAGCGUUAAUCGGAAUUACUGGGCGUAAAGCGCGCGUAGGCGGUCUGAUAAGCCGGUUGUGAAAGCCCCGGGCUCAACCUGGGAACGGCAUCCGGAACUGUCAGGCUAGAGUGCAGGAGAGGAAGGUAGAAUUCCCGGUGUAGCGGUGAAAUGCGUAGAGAUCGGGAGGAAUACCAGUGGCGAAGGCGGCCUUCUGGACUGACACUGACGCUGAGGUGCGAAAGCGUGGGUAGCAAACAGGAUUAGAUACCCGGGUAGUC
rnacentral:rRNA from 1 species